UUUCUGUGAGGAUAACUUUUGUCAGUUCUGCUACUGAGCAAAAGUGACGACUUCUGUGACUCUGAGAAA